rnacentral:rRNA from 1 species
CCUACGGGAGGCAGCAGUGGGGGAUAUUGCACAAUGGGGGGAACCCUGAUGCAGCGACGCCGCGUGGGCGAUGGAGUGCUUCGGCAUGUAAAGCCCUAUCAGCAGGGAAGAAAAUGACGGUACCUGACUAAGAAGCCCCGGCCAAUACGUGCCAGCAGCCGCGGGAAUACGUAUGGGGCAAGCGUUAUCCGGAUUUACUGGGUGUCAAGGGAGCGUAGGCGGCCUGGCAAGCCGGAUGUGAAAUACAGGGGCCCCACCCCGGGGCUUCAUUGGGAACUGCCAGGCUGGAGUGCCGGAGAGGCAGGCGGACUUCCUAGUGUAGCGGUGAACUGCGUAGAUAUUAGGAGGAACACCAGUGGCGAAGGCGGCCUGCUGGACUGUGCCUGCCGCUGCGGCUCGACAGCGUGGGGAGCAAACAGGAUUAGAUACCCCAGUAGUC